ACGCUGACAGAAUGCUUAACACAUGCAAGUCAACUUGAAUUUGGGUUUUUAACUUAGAUUUGGGUGGCGGACGGGUGAGUAACGCGUAAAGAACUUGCCUCACAGCUAGGGACAACAUUUAGAAAUGAAUGCUAAUACCUGAUAUUAUGAUUUUAAGGCAUCUUAGAAUUAUGAAAGCUAUAAGCACUGUGAGAGAGCUUUGCGUCCCAUUAGCUAGUUGGAGAGGUAACAGUUCACCAAGGCGAUGAUGGGUAGCCGGCCUGAGAGGGUGAACGGCCACAAGGGGACUGAGACACGGCCCUUACUCCUACGGGAGGCAGCAGUGGGGAAUAUUGGACAAUGGACCGAGAGUCUGAUCCAGCAAUUCUGUGUGCACGAUGAAGUUUUUCGGAAUGUAAAGUGCUUUCAGUUGGGAAGAAAAAAUGACGGUACCAACAGAAGAAGUGACGGCUAAAUACGUGCCAGCAGCCGCGGUAAUACGUAUGUCACGAGCGUUAUCCGGAUUUAUUGGGCGUAAAGCGCGUCUAGGUGGUUAUGUAAGUCUGAUGUGAAAAUGCAGGGCUCAACUCUGUAUUGCGUUGGAAACUGUAUAACUAGAGUACUGGAGAGGUAAGCGGAACUACAAGUGUAGAGGUGAAAUUCGUAGAUAUUUGUAGGAAUGCCGAUGGGGAAGCCAGCUUACUGGACAGAUACUGACGCUAAAGCGCGAAAGCGUGG
rnacentral:rRNA from 1 species